AGCAGCCGCGGUAAUUCCAGCUCCAAUAGCGUAUAUUAAAGUUGUUGCAGUUAAAAAGCUCGUAGUUGAAUUUCGGGAUCAGUAGGUUGGUCGUGCCACCGGUACGUACUGGUCUCACUGAUUCCUCCUUCCUGAAGAACCGUAAUGCCAUUAAUUUGGUGUUGCGGGGAAACAGGACUGUUACUUUGAAAAAUUAGAGUGUUUAAAGCAGGCUAACGCUUGAAUACAUUAGCAUGGAAUAAUGAAAUAGGACGAUCGAUCCUAUUUUGUUGGUUUCUAGGAUUGACGUAAUGAUUAAUAGGGAUAGUUGGGGGCAUUAGUAUUCAAUUGUCAGAGGUGAAAUUCUUGGAUUUAUUGAAGACUAACUACUGCGAAAGCAUUUGCCAAGGAUGUUUUCAUUAAUCAAGAACGAAAGUUAGGGGAUCGAAGACGAUCAGAUACCGUCGUAGU
rnacentral:rRNA from 1 species